rnacentral:lncRNA from 1 species
GCUUUAGCCGGUGCCUGUGUGUUUCUUGUCAUGCCCGGUGCUGUGUUUUUCUGCUCUAGCCCGGUGCCUGUGUGUUUCUGCUCUAGCCCGGUGCCUGUGUGUUUCUGCUCUAGCCCGGUGCCUGUGUGUUUCUGCUCUAGCCGGUGCCUGUGUGUUUCUGCUCUAGCCCGGUGCCUGUGUGUUUCUGCUUUAGCCUUCCACAUGGAAGCCAUUAAGUGUUUUCUGACCAGCCACACGUUUCACUUCUGCACAUGCACCAUGAAAACAAUGCAGAAAUAAAUUAAAUAAUUUCUCCUUACCUCUCUCUCUUUUAUGAAGGGAAGUAAUCAAAGGACAGUCAGGUGGUGCGGAGCCUGGAAAAGAGUCAUGUAAUUAUGUUGGGAGUGGGAUAAUAUAUUUCCUUUGGAAAAAGAGAAGGCCUCAGCAUAGUUCUGAGAUUAGGUUUUAGAUCAGGCCAGCUCUGCUAAUAGUUGUUUAUUAGAACAUUUAAAGAUGUUAAAUACCAAGUAUCAACGCUUACAGCCUAAAGUGGAUCUAAAACCUUUUCUCUAACUUUUCCAACAAGCAAUAAAACUAUCAGUAGCCUGGGUGUCAUUUUGUGUCUGUUUUAGCCAACUAUAGCCAUCAAAUCUGGAUAUUCUUGAGAAAGGCUCAAGUUGAUAUGUGAAGAAUAAAAAAUUAACUCCACUAUUCUUGCCUUUUCUAAAGUACGUUCUCUGUGUGUGUGUGUGUGUGUCUGUCUGUUUAUCUGUCUGUCUGUCUAUCUGUCUGUUUAUCCGAGCCAGAAGGUAUCAGGAGGCAUCCGUGUGUUUACUCUGGGCAGUGAAGAGUCUUUCACCUGUGUAGGGCCCUUGGGUCCAUUAAUGUAAUAUGUCCCAGUCCAUCCAUAACGUUAGGAUUUAGGCUUGUGUUAGACAGUGUGCUAUUAAUAGAUCAGCAGUGG